UUAAAGGCGAAGAACGGGAACAGGCUGUUAAAACCGGCAAAGAGAAGCGGCGGAUGGUGCAAGCCGCAGCGGCAAAUCAGCAAAUGCUCGCCCGGGAGCCGCGCUUUUGAACGGAGUAGGAAGCGACGCAGAGCAGCGUUAAGCAUAAUGAAGCCCCAAUCAGGGUGGUACCGCGGUUAAUAAUCGCCCCUGUC
rnacentral:ncRNA from 1 species